GCCAAAUUUAUCCUUACUGCUGCUUCCUCAUUCAGAAAAAGGCAAUAGAAAGGUGUGGCAGGUAAAUACGGCAGCGGGAUAUAUUCUUUUUUAUUCAGAAUGUUUGCAGCUAGCAGAUGAUUCAGAUCCCCCAUUUUCCUUUUGGAUGUACACAAAUGGACAGGUGCCUUGCUCCUCAAACAUCUUCUCCCUUCCCCUUAGUCUGGUUAGAUGAUAUGUAUAACUAAGCUUACAGUUGCUGGAAAAAACAUUUAACAGAAGUCUUCCUUUCAUGCAGAGGAAUAUCUAAGUUCAGGUUUUUCAGGCUUUUAGGUGCACAAGCAAGGUAAAUUUUAUGAGUCGUACAGAAUGCUUUCAAUUCUCUUUCCAAAGGUUGAGGCAUGUCGUUGUUCAUUGUUAUGUGAUAUUAAUGAGGGCAGAAGGUUACUAGAGAAAGAGUAUGAGUGAAAUAAAAUUUAUAAUCCAAAUUUGGGGUGUUCAAACACUGAAAACAGGAUCGGGAACAAAAAUGGUCAAAGGAGAGGGGCAGGGAGUAAUCUGAUUUAAUAGGAAGAGAAUAGCUCCAUUCAACUUUUUAAUGGGCCACCCAUGGACAGACUUCAGCCAAGGAUGAUGCUGUACUGCUAAAGUGGAAGGUGUCAGAAAAAGCUCCAACUUGUGCCUGUACACCUGUGCAUGAGUUCUUCUGUACUUUCCAUUCUUUUCUAAUGGACCUUGUGCUGAAUCUUGCAGGCCUGAAUAGAGUUUGGAAAUCCAGAAUGGAUCUGUGUUGUGCUCUCAGGUUAUUCCUGAAUUGCAUCACGAUUCCUCAGGCUUCCUACUGUUCAGUGGGGCUGAUGAACAGAUGUCCGUGGUGCCUAUUAUCUCCUUGCUGAAGCUGUCACACAUAGAUAAUGUCAACGUUUUUCAUCGUAAGUGCUUUAAUAAGCAACUUUAUAGCCUGGACUGUGAUCAGCAGAGGCCCUCUUCCUUUGAGGAACCCCACAUACAACUAACUGAAGGCUUCUCGGGAGGCAGGAGGAAUGAUCUUGUGCUGCAGGUGUGGAAACAACUGCUCAGAUGUCCUCACACAGGUAGGGGAUUGUAGUCUAGCUUUCAGUAUGCAGAAGUAAGGCGUGCAGCCUUAGCACUUAGACUGCCUUGGUAAUCUUAAAAGGGAGAGACCAAUUGACUUCCAGUGGGUAGUUCAUCCUACUUCUCUUAGGCAUUUUGGAAUGUAAUUAAGUGACCUUUGGAAGUGUAUUCCCUUCAUUAUCUUUUGAGGGAGCUUUGAUGAUUAGCUUGGAGUAGAUGCCUAGCUCUUACAUGGCAGUGUUCAGUGAAAUUAAAUAAGCCCUUAAGCUCUCUUUAACUGAGCUCUAUGUCUGUAAGAUAAAGGGUGUGCUUCAGAGACUGUUCAUUAAUUUUCCUGAGGUUCUCAGGUGUUGUGAUCAUGGCAGCAUACAAAAAUAUUGCAUUUCAGGUCAGGUAACUUGAAUAUGUGUGGUGAAAUUGUUGCUUGUGAUGGAUACGCCAGCAAGGAAAUAAGCGGCAGGUAUGUUUAUUGUAUUCUGUCAAAACAUGACAACAGAAUUGGGUAGGAGAUCAGAAACUGUUUAUCACACAAGAUAUAUGUGAUUAUCAUAUAUUACCAAUUAGUUCCAUGCACCAUGAUACAUGUUAAAUAGUUCUGUUAAAUGUCUGUUGAUUUUGUGGAUGCCACUAAGUUGGGCUCAUUUUGUUGAUAUUACUACUGCAUAGUGAUGACUGUGUCAAAGGAGGAAAUAUGAAAAAAGAGAAUAAAAUGGCAAAAAGUGGAGGCA
rnacentral:lncRNA from 1 species